AGUUAGAAAAAGCCCGGGCUAGGGCCGGCGAGCAGGGUGCGGGAGGGGGUGGUGGGUGGGNGGGAUGGGGGGGUUCGGGGGAAACUGGGGAAGCGGGGGAGCCGAGGGGUAACCAGGGAAGCGUGGGGUACUGGGGGCAACCAGGGGAAGAUGGGGACGGGGUACAGGGAGGCUUGAGUGGGCCAAGGAUCACCUUGGAAAUCUGGGGUCUGGCAGGAGCGGCAGAAGGUUGGGGGGCUGGCCUGGGCAGGGCUGGAGGGCACCUGGCGGGAGUGUGGCGUGGGGUCCCAGGUGUCUUGGAGUGCGGGUGACAUCGGCAUGGGAUGGGCCCAAGCUGGGGGUGUAGAGGAAAGAGGGGGGAGCCAGACAUUCAUCCCGGUCAGUUUUGGUUUCAGGACGUGGCGGCUGGUGGACGAGGGGAGCUGGAGAGAGAUUCGCCCGGGACCUGGGGCAGUGGGGCCGUAUAGCUGGCAGCCGUGGGUGAGUGAGGACAGCGGUCUGUCGGCCAGGUGAGUCCCCUCCCCUCCCUGGGCCUUGCUCUGCUGGCCUUCUGCAAGAAGGGGGCUUCGGGGAGCAAGGGCCAGCGAGGAGAAGCGGCUGACCUCCCGGCAGAGCGGCAGGACGAAGGAGAGCGGUCGGCACAGGUGACAUUGUCUCGGGGGGAGCUGAGACCGUGCGGGCUGGGGGGGGGCCGCGUGCCCUUCCCAGGUAGAAAGAGCAUUUCGGGAGAGCAGGCAGGAGAUGAGGCAGGGCUGCCGGCAGGAGAGGUGACAGGUAGCUGUGGGGAUCCAGCACGUGCGGGGUGGGGGGGGAGGCACCAGGCCCCGGGUCGGACAGGAUGAGGUGGGGACUCAGGACGCAGCAGGGGUCCCCAGCCGCCACCACAUCUCACCCACUGAAAUUCAUUUAGUAGCAGGUACAGGAGCGGCUCUGGCCAGGCCAGAGCUUCGAGGGCUGGGGAGCGGGAAAGAAGGGGCAGUGCGCGGGGUGUCCCGCAACAGGACGUCACCGGAGGGAGCGGCGGCCGCAGGUACCGGCUCCGGAGAGAUUUCUGCAGCGAGGAGGCUGCUGCGGGCCCAGCCUGCGGACGCGCCGUUCCCACGUGGCACUGCGGCCCAGGGUCUGGCGCGGAGAGGGCCCACAGCGUACUUGGUGACACUGUAUGCCUUCACCGCUCAGCCCCCGGGUCUGGCAUGACAGACAGGACAGCACCAGGGGAGUCAAGGGCACUGGCGAGACCCGACUAGGCGAGGCGGGUGGGGUGGAGUGAAUGAGAACUCUGGUGGGGGGCCGGGGCGCAGGCAGGGGCGAAGGGCGGGAGCCUGGCGGCGAGUCCGCCGGGGCGCUGGCCUCCAGAGCCCGUGGCCGAGGUGGGCCUCCGCGGGCGACGACGGAGCAGGGAUCGGUGCCUCUGGACUCGGGACUGGAGACGAGGGUGAGUGCCCGCUGGCGUGCCCGACACCCCACCGUCCCCCCGCCCGCCCACCGCCUCUGCCUGCGGCUCAGCUGGCACCCCCUCCCCUCGCCCGCAGCCAGGUCUCCAGAUCGGGUGACGUGCUGCUGGCCUCCGAAGGCCGGGCGCGAGGCUGCGCUCAGAGAGGCAUGACAUGGUCCGGUGCGACGGCGAGGACAGACGUGACGCCGCCCGGCCUUCCUGGUGAGCGCGGCUGUGAGGCUUGGCCCCCGCAGGCCGACCCACCCGCAGGGCGUCACCCCUGAGCGCUCUUGCUUCCCUAGACCAUUCUAGGCUGGCGCCGCGGGGACCCGGAACACCCAAGGGCUCGUUCCUCUGCGCUCCUGAAGGAGCCGACACAUGACUGCUGCUCUCUGGACCCCUAGAACCCUCAAAACGACAAGGUGAGGAGUCCCCGGCCAGCCGCGGGCAGCGGGCGCGGGCCAAGGAGCAGGGAACUCACCGUGUCCUGCCCCGCAGAAAUGGUGCUACCCAGCUCACGCCUGGGCCUUGGAACUGGGACUUCUUCAAGUCCCCUCUAGCUCUGACUCAAGAAUAUGCUGCAUUCUGGAACCACUACACUCCUUGACUCAGGAAUCGGCUCUGGAAGGUGAGUGCGGGCACCCUUCCGGAAGCUUCCGGGGCCGCCCUGCCCGGUCCCCGCUCACACGUCCUGUCGCUCUCUGCAGGUCAAGCUACAGGAACGAGACCAGCCCGACAGCAAGACCGUCGGAAGCGAGCAGCACCCGCGGCGGCCGCCACCCCGCCUGGCGCCUCCGUCUCCGUGGCCACCCUGCCGUGGACAGGCGACCACCAACCAGCCUCCACGCCCCCACGCCCCUCACCCUCCUUCUCUUCUUCCUUUCCUCUGUGCUUUCAUUUCCUUUCUUUCCUUUCCCCUUUGCUCGGGACUCAAAGCCACCGUGACUCCGUUUCCCCGUCCCUCCCGAAUUCAAUUUGCACUAAGUCGUUUGCACUGGUUUGGAGUUCUGGGUCUGGCCUCGAGUCCCCGAGCGCGUGUGCAAGCAAGAUGCUGAGUGCCCGCGCCGUGCCCAGCGCCCACCUGCCGUCCAUCUCUGCCUGGGGGUGCCUGGGUGCGUCCGAGUGUGUGGGGCCCCACCCUCCCCUUGCCUAGUCUGGGAGCUCCAAACACCGAGCAAACCUUGAAGCAUUCCGUUGUAGAGCAGCUCGCUCUGUGCCCCUCCCCGCCAGGGUUUCACCAGAAGCCCUGGACUCAUCAAUAAACUCAGUUACAGCAA
rnacentral:lncRNA from 1 species